rnacentral:rRNA from 1 species
CGGCGACGGGUGAGUAACACGUGGAUAACCUACCUAUAAGACUGGGAUAACUUCGGGAAACCGGAGCUAAUACCGGAUAAUAUAUUGAACCGCAUGGUUCAAUAGUGAAAGACGGUUUUGCUGUCACGUUAUAGAUGGAUCCGCGCCGCAUUAGCUAGUUGGUAAGGUAACGGCUUACCAAGGCAACGAUGCGUAGCCGACCUGAGAGGGUGAUCGGCCACACUGGAACUGAGACACGGUCCAG